AAGUUGAGAAUCAAUUCACGUUCAGAUGUAGUAUUUGGCUGUUUUUGCUUCCAGAGACAUUUCACCUUUAAACAGAACAUGUAAGGUUCUUGGGCUUUAAGGAGUAACGUUAGACUACUUUAGACCAUUAUUGGGCUAGGGUAUAGGUCCUUGGGUAGGGAACAAAUUAAAUUUAAAAAACUAAAUCCGUUCUGCAGUAAAAAUCCAAUAAAUUCAAUAAUGUUGAAAAUGUGAAUGUGUGGAGACUAAAAGUAAUUUUUUUUCCAUUUCAACUUGUUGUAGAAUAAAUAGGGAAUUAUUUAAGAAAAGUGCAAGGGUGCAUAUAAACGUGUCCUGAUACUGUAGAACGCUGGCUAAUGAGUCUAUCUGAGAAAAAGUCCAAUCGUAGUGACGGAGAGCAACCUUGGGUUAAAACAGGUCCAUAUAAAGCAAUAGUUGCUAUCUGCCAAUGAGGGGCCAUGUACACGCAAAUAGAAGCAGGAAGAGAGUUUUAGACGGUGAUGUAUGAACAUUAGGAAGUAGUCAUUUUAUUUGGUUUCUUGAUCCUUGACACACACACACACAUAAAUAUUUGUGCAUAGAUACACCGUCACACACCCAGACUCAAACCCUCACAUGGCUCUUCAUCUCUCCGUCUUCCUCCUCCUCAUCAUCAUCAUCUCAGUAAUGUCAAUGCCAACCACCGAAGACUCAACAUACUUAACAUCAGAGUACAGCAUGUAUACAUCUGAAGACGUCGUUAGAUUACUCUACAGAUUGGAGCGAGCACUCUUCUAUCUGGUGAAAACCGUUAAUACAGUGCUCUUCCUCCUGUGCACCAUCAUUGCUGAAAUGAAUUUCAGGUUUAACCGACUCCAAAAUAUAAAGUUGGCACAUGGUUUUAUUUCUAGUUAAUAUUGUAAUAUUUUUGGGGGGUCUCCAAAAUAUUGCUGGGUCGCAGAAAUAUAUGGACAAAUUGAUUUUUAGUUUAGUUUUGCUCUUUUGUCACUGAUUUACCCGUGUUGAAUUGUUUUGAAUGACUAAUUACCACUGUUAACCUACAUAAAUGAAACAUGCAUAUUUUGCUAAUAAAAACAUUUUAAAGACA